UGCAAGUCGAACGAUGAAGCCCAGCUUGCUGGGUGGAUUAGUGGCGAACGGGUGAGUAACACGUGAGUAACCUGCCCUUAACUCUGGGAUAAGCCUGGGAAACUGGGUCUAAUACCGGAUAGGAGCGUCCACCGCAUGGUGGGUGUUGGAAAGAUUUAUCGGUUUUGGAUGGACUCGCGGCCUAUCAGCUUGUUGGUGAGGUAAUGGCUCACCAAGGCGACGACGGGUAGCCGGCCUGAGAGGGUGACCGGCUAUACUGGGACUGAGACACGGCCCAGACACCUACGGGAGGCAGCAGUGGGGAAUAUUGCACAAUGGGCGCAAGCCUGAUGCAGCGACGCCGCGUGAGGGAUGACGGCCUUCGGGUUGUAAACCUCUUUCAGUAGGGAAGAAGCGAAAGUGACGGUACCUGCAGAAGAAGCACCGGCUAACUACGUGCCAGCAGCCGCGGUAAUACGUAGGGUGCGAGCGUUAUCCGGAAUUAUUGGGCGUAAAGAGCUCGUAGGCGGUUUGUCGCGUCUGUCGUGAAAGUCCGGGGCUUAACCCCGGAUCUGCGGUGGGUACGGGCAGACUAGAGUGCAGUAGGGGAGACUGGAAUUCCUGGUGUAGCGGUGGAAUGCGCAGAUAUCAGGAGGAACACCGAUGGCGAAGGCAGGUCUCUGGGCUGUAACUGACGCUGAGGAGCGAAAGCAUGGGGAGCGAACAGGAUUAGAUACCCUGGUAGUCCAUGCCGUAAACGUUGGGCACUAGGUGUGGGGACCAUUCCACGGUUUCCGCGCCGCAGCUAACGCAUUAAGUGCCCCGCCUGGGGAGUACGGCCGCAAGGCUAAAACUCAAAGGAAUUGACGGGGGCCCGCACAAGCGGCGGAGCA
rnacentral:rRNA from 1 species